rnacentral:rRNA from 1 species
UACGUAGGGUGCAAGCGUUAAUCGGAAUUACUGGGCGUAAAGCGUGCGCAGGCGGUUCUAUAAGACAGAUGUGAAAUCCCCGGGCUCAACCUGGGAACUGCAUUUGUGACUGUAGAGCUGGAGUACGGUAGAGGGGGAUGGAAUUCCGCGUGUAGCAGUGAAAUGCGUAGAUAUGCGGAGGAACACCGAUGGCGAAGGCAAUCCCCCUGGACCUGUACUGACGCUCAUGCACGAAAGCGUGGGGGCAAACGAGG